rnacentral:rRNA from 1 species
AACGUAGGAGGCGAGCGUUAUCCGGAUUUACUGGGUGUAAAGCGCGUGUAGGCGGUCCUGCAAGUGGCGCGUGAAAGCGCCCGGCUCAACCGGGCGAGGACGUGACCGAACUGCGGGGCUAGAGGCAGGUAGAGGCGUGUGGAAUUCCGGGUGUAGUGGUGAAAUGCGUAGAGAUCCGGAGGAACACCAGUGGCGAAGGCGACACGCUGGGCCUGACCUGACGCUGAGAGGCGAAAGCAUGGGGAGCGAACGGGAUUAGAUACCCCUGUAGU